UACGUAGGGGGCAAGCGUUGUCCGGAUUUAUUGGGCGUAAAGCGCUCGCAGGUGGUUCGAUGCGUCGUGCGUGAAAGACCCCGGCUCAACCUGGGAAUUGCGAUGGAGACUGCAAGGCUAGAAUCUGGCAGAGGGGGGUAGAAUUCCACGUGUAGCAGUGAAAUGCGUAGAGAUGUGGAGGAACACCGAUGGCGAAGGCAGCCCCCUGGGUCAAGAUUGACGCUCAUGCACGAAAGCGUGGGGAGCAAACGAGG
rnacentral:rRNA from 1 species